rnacentral:misc_RNA from 1 species
GAUGAAGAACGUAGCGAAAUGCGAUAAGUAAUGCGAAUUGCAGAAUUCAGUGAGUCAUCGAAUCUUUGAACGCACAUUGCGCCCUGUGGUAUUCCGCAGGGCAUGCCUGUUCGAGCGUCAUUUCAACCCUCAAGCUCUGCUUGGUGUUGGGCCCUGCCCGCUGCGGCCGGCCCUAAAGACAGUGGCGGUGCCGCCUGGCCCUGAGCGUAGUACAUCUCUCGCUCCAGUGCCCGGUGGUAGCCUGCCAGAACCCCAACUCUCGUGGUUGACCUCGGAUCAGGUAGGGAUACCCGAUGAACUUAAGCAUAUCAAUAAGCGGAGGA